rnacentral:rRNA from 1 species
GACGAACGCUGGCGGCGUGCUUAACACAUGCAAGUCGAACGAAGAGCGAUGGAAGCUUGCUUCUAUCAAUCUUAGCGGCGACCGGGUGAGUAACGCGUAAUCAACCUGCCCUUCAGAGGGGGACAACAGUUGGAAACGACUGCUAAUACCGCAUACGAUCUAAUCUCGGCAUCGAGGAUAGAUGAAAGGUGGCCUCUACAUGUAAGCUAUCACUGAAGGAGGGGAUUGCGUCUGAUUAGCUAGUUGGAGGGGUAACGGCCCACCAAGGCGAUGAUCAGUAGCCGGUCUGAGAGGAUGAACGGCCACAUUGGGACUGAGACACGGCCCAGACUCCUACGGGAGGCAGCAGUGGGGAAUCUUCCGCAAUGGACGAAAGUCUGACGGAGCAACGCCGCGUGAGUGAUGACGGCCUUCGGGUUGUAAAGCUCUGUUAAUCGGGACGAAAGGCCUUCUUGCGAAUAGUGAGAAGGAUUGACGGUACCGGAAUAGAAAGCCACGGCUAACUACGUG